AGUGAACGCUGGCGGUAGGCCUAACACAUGCAAGUCGAACGGCAGCACAGUAAGAGCUUGCUCUUACGGGUGGCGAGUGGCGGACGGGUGAGGAAUACAUCGGAAUCUACUUUUUCGUGGGGGAUAACGUAGGGAAACUUACGCUAAUACCGCAUACGACCUACGGGUGAAAGCAGGGGAUCUUCGGACCUUGCGCGAUUGAAUGAGCCGAUGUCGGAUUAGCUAGUUGGCGGGGUAAAGGCCCACCAAGGCGACGAUCCGUAGCUGGUCUGAGAGGAUGAGCAGCCACACUGGAACUGAGACACGGUCCAGACUCCUACGGGAGGCAGCAGUGGGGAAUAUUGGACAAUGGGCGAAAGCCUGAUCCAGCCAUACCGCGUGGGUGAAGAAGGCCUUCGGGUUGUAAAGCCCUUUUGUUGGGAAAGAAAAGCAGCAGGUUAAUACCCCGCUGUUCUGACGGUACCCAAAGAAUAAGCACCGGCGAACUUCG
rnacentral:rRNA from 1 species